rnacentral:tRNA from 1 species
UAGAUUAAAGUCCGCUGGUUUGGGCAGCUAGUUGUUAAUUAGUGUUGUUUGUGGGAUCGAGGCCCGCUGAUCUAG